CAGUCGCCGCGGGAAUACGUAGGGCGCAAGCGUUAUCCGGAAUUAUUGGGCGUAAAGAGCUCGUAGGCGGUUUGUCGCGUCUGCCGUGAAAGUCCGGGGCUCAACCCCGGAUCUGCAGUGGGUACGGGCAGACUAGAGUGAUGUAGGGGAGACUGGAAUUCCUGGUGUAGCGGUGAAAUGCGCAGAUAUCAGGAGGAACACCGAUGGCGAAGGCAGGUCUCUGGGCAUUAACUGACGCUGAGGAGCGAAAGCAUGGGGAGCGAACAGGAUUAGAUACCCGCGUAGUCCCUGUCUCUUAACA
rnacentral:rRNA from 1 species